ACAGGGAUUGCCUUAGUAACGGCGAGUGAAGCGGCAACAGCUCAAAUUUGAAAUCUGGCGUCUUUGGCGUCCGAGUUGUAAUUUGCAGAGGGCGCUUUGGCAUUGGCAGCGGUCCAAGUUCCUUGGAACAGGACGUCACAGAGGGUGAGAAUCCCGUACGUGGUCGCUAGCCUUUACCGUGUAAAGCCCCUUCGACGAGUCGAGUUGUUUGGGAAUGCAGCUCUAAAUGGGAGGUAAAUUUCUUCUAAAGCUAAAUACUGGCCAGAGACCGAUAGCGCACAAGUAGAGUGAUCGAAAGAUGAAAAGCACUUUGGAAAGAGAGUUAAAAAGCACGUGAAAUUGUUGAAAGGGAAGCGCUUGCAGCCAGACUUGCCUGUAGUUGCUCAUCCGGGUUUUUACCCGGUGCACUCUUCUACGGGCAGGCCAGCAUCAGUUUGGGCGGUUGGAUAAAGGUCUCUGUCAUGUACCUCCUCUCGGGGAGAACUUAUAGGGGAGACGACAUGCAACCAGCCUGGACUGAGGUCCGCGCAUCUGCUAGGAUGCUGGCGUAAUGGCUGUAAGCGGCCCGUCUUGAAACACGGACCAAGGAGUCUAACAUCUAUGCGAGUGUUUGGGUGUCAAGCCCGAGCGCGUAAUGAAAGUGAACGGAGGUGGGAACCUUUCGGGGUGCACCAUCGACCGAUCCUGAUGUCUUCGGAUGGAUUUGAGUAAGAGCAUAGCUGUUGGGACCCGAAAGAUGGUGAACUAUGCUUGAAUAGGGUGAAGCCAGAGGAAACUCUGGUGGAGGCUCGCAGCGGUUCUGACGUGCAAAUCGAUCGUCAAAUUUGGGCAUAGGGGCGAAAGACUAAUCGAACUAUCUAGUAGCUGGUUCCUGCCGAAGUUUCCCUCAGGAUAGCAGUAACGUUUUCAGUUUUAUGAGGUAAAGCGAAUGAUAGAGGACUGGGGGAUGAAACAUCCUU
rnacentral:rRNA from 1 species